rnacentral:lncRNA from 1 species
CUUUUAAUUGCUUGAGUAACAAUUGUUUGAAUAAUUUAGGUCUGUAAUUGCUUAGAUUAUUUAAACACACAUUUAAUCAAGUUGCAUAAUCUAAACUUGACCACGCGGUUGGCAAGGUUAGAAUUAGGUUUCUCUAAGUCUUAAUGCAGUUAACAGUUGUUCGAUGCUACAAUGCCCCAAGGACGUUCCUUGGCAACUUGUUGAUUAGUGUUUGAUUAGCGAACGUUUCCUAAUCAAACUAGAACUAAGGAGGAAUUUGGAUUGUGAGAAGCGUCUUCCACAUCCUAAACUAAUUUAUUGAAAUAAAUAGAAGUAUCGAAAAGAUCAAUGAUCAAUUCUAAACAAACUGAAAUAGAUCCAUUCUUCAACUAGAAUUCUUCUCCUAUUGAAAUUCUCAUCUAUUUAAAUUAUCGCUUUCUCUUGCUAUUUAGUUUUAAU